rnacentral:lncRNA from 1 species
CAGGCUGCCAGGACAUUGAGACAUGGGAAGAGUCGGUGCGGAGGUGGAGGGGAAGGGAGGAAAGUGAGGAGCCGAGGCCCCCAGAGUCUGCUUAGGCCAGAACCACGGUUCUGGGAGCAGGGUGCAUGGGUCGGGGGUCCAGGAGAAGUAUGACGAGGGGUCCAGGGCUGUCAGGGCACAGGCAAGGUGGAUGGAAACGGGCUCGUGUCGUGGGUGUCCCCCGUGGCUGUGGGAAGGCAUGGGAUGACCUGCACCUGCAAUCCUUUGGCAGAUGGAGAGCAGAUGGAGGACGAGAGCCCGCGCCCCAGCCUUUCUCGCCGUGAAGACCCCCUCUUGUCUCUGCCCGUCUAUAUUCUCUCAUAAACUGAGUCCAGCUUCCAGUACCACAAAUCCCCUCCCGGCACUCGAAUCCACGCAUUUUAAACCCUUAUUGGCCUUUAAAGGAAUCCCGCCCAGCUCAGCCCCUGAGCGCUGGUUUCCACGUGGGUUGCUGCUGACCCUCCCUCGAGCUCCCUGCCGGUCUCUUCAACACCCGGAGGACCCGCGGGUGCGGAGUGCUGUUACCCAAGAGGAGUUACUCUCAGAACUAAGAAGUCGACAAGACAGGAAUGUCACCUUGGGUGGAUGCGCCAGGAGAGGAACUGACAGGAACAACAGCCAUGAGCUUGUUACCUUGGUGCUGUUUUUAUGCUCGUCUUGGCAGCCGUUUUGAGGUGCUCCUCCCUCGGCGCCGGCUUCAGAUUUGGGAGCAAAUGUGAUUCCGCACGAAGGGCAGGUCUAGAAGAAAAACACAGACUGUGGGGACACACCCAGAAACCGCGACUGCCACCCUGAAUUCAGGCAGGUCCGCUGUUGCCAUCUGCCGUCACGCAGCAUGGUGGUGAGCAAGGGGAAGGCACACAGAACCGCUCGGGGAUGAGCUGAAAGCCAACGGGCAAAGUGACAGUGGAAACACACAGAAACCCGGGCACGAACGCAACAGGACCCAAAAAUGGAACCGGGAAUGUUCACUGACUGAACAAUGGAUCAACAAACUGUGGUCUAUUCGAACAAUGGGAUAUUACUCAGCCACGAAAAAGACGGAAGCACUGACGCCUGCCACAGCAUGGUGAACCUCGAAAACAUUAUGCUCGGGGAGGGAAGCCAGACACAGCACAGAUAUUACGUGAUCCCGUCUAUGUGAAAUAUUCAGAAAAGGGCCUGAGGACACCUGUGAGCCGUCAAUGACCUCAAAGCCAGAAAGCAAG